CAGCUGGAUUUGGAGAAACCUAAAAGAAUCACAGGCAUCAUCACUCAGGGAGCAAAAGACUUUGGAGUUGUGCAGUUUGUUUCAGCCUUUAAGCUCGCUUACAGUAAUGAUGGACAAACAUGGAGCAUUGUGAAGGAUCAAAUAACAAGAACAGAUAAGAUUUUCCAAGGCAACAUCGACAACAACACAUACAAAAAGAACUUGUUUGAGCCUCCGUUCUUUGCACGAUUUGUGCGGUUUCUGCCCUGGGAGUGGCAUGAGCGGAUAACUCUACGCAUGGAGCUGCUGGGCUGUGAUGAUUAGUCUGCACUGCUUUUGCCUGAAGUGUGUCUGCUGGUUAUAGCUGAUGAUUUGUUUCAAUAUACAUUAGCUUCAAUUGUUGCUCUGUAUUUUAUUGUAUUGAUGUCAGUGUUUUAAUGUACCUUUGAAGGGUCUAAUUUUAACGCCUUUUGGCACAACUUCAAUUUUAGGAAAUCACCUUUUAAGCAAGUUUCAGAGAACAUUACAAAAUUUGAAAAACAUAAACCUUAAAUUGUAAUACUUUACUAAAAUUGUUAGUCCCACAACCAAUGAACAUUCUUGUAUUUCAAUAUGGAUGUCCUGAUUUAUAAUGAAAUAUACAAACUAUAAGUAAAUAUCUUUAUUAUUCCUUAUCUUUGGCCACCAAGGUGAGAACCUAUCCAUGAAGCAACCUACCUGCUUCCACCUGUCUUAAAUAUUACAUCCCACUAGUGCUAAUGUCCAAUAGUUGACCUUAUUCUGCCUUUUAGCACACAAAGGAAAAUCGUCAACUUGUAAUUUUCUGUAAACACACAAAUACGAGCUACAACAUAUUUUUCUGAACUAAUCUAGACUGUCUGGAGUACAUUUAUAUUCAGUAUGGGUCUGUUAGAAACAUUUCUGUAAAUUAGAAAUGAAUUAAACACUCCAGGAAAAUGUUAUUGCUGAAAUGUCAUGUUAAGAGAAUGGCUCACAUCAAUUGGCUCGUUUGCACUGCAGUUGCUCUACAUUUUAUACUACAGUUUAUAUAUAUUUUAUAACUCGAUUUUAUCUGAGUCAAUGUAAACAACCAAAUUGGAAUAGAAUUGUACAACUGCAAAUAUUGAGUAUCUUUUGUAAAACACAUUGUCUUUAACAAUAUUAAUAAAUAUGUGAAAUAUU